CUGCAGGUCAUCUUUUCUUUUCUCAACCCAGCCUGAGGCCUGAGAGGGAAAGGCCAGUCCACUGCAUGUCUCUGGAUUUCAAAAGCACUGAGAAGGAGCCCCCUUAAUAGACAGACCAGCCAGGUAACAGAAGAACACUUCAGCAGGAAGACCAGAGACCAACAGCCACAUCCAUAGCAGCUCUGGCUUCAUUCCGGUGCACUCACAGGAGAAGUCC
rnacentral:lncRNA from 1 species